rnacentral:piRNA from 1 species
GGACUACUCAAGAAUGAAUAACC